rnacentral:rRNA from 1 species
AUGGCUCAGGAUUAACGCUGGCGGCGUGCCUAAUACAUGCAAGUCGAAUGGUAGCAAUACCAUGGCGAACGGGUGAGUAACACGUAGGUAACCUGUCCUUAAGACGAGGAUAACCGUUGGAAACGACGGAUAAUACUGGAUAGGAGGAAUUGAGGCAUCUUAAUUUCUUUAAAGAUUUAUCACUUGAGGAGGGGCCUGCGGCGCAUUAGCUAGAUGGCGGGGUAAUAGCCCACCAUGGCAAUGAUGCGUAGCCGGACUGAGAGGUUGAACGGCCACAAUGGAACUGAGAACGGUCCAUACUCCUACGGGAGGCAGCAGUAGGGAAUUUUCGGCAAUGGGCGAAAGCCUGACCGAGCAACGCCGCGUGAACGAAGAAGUAUUUCGGUAUGUAAAGUUCUUUUAUUAGGGAAGAAAAGAUCAGGAUUGACGGUACCUAAUGAAUAAGCUCCGGCUAACUACGUGCCAGCCGCCGC